AAAGAUCGGAACUGUCGCUUCCUCCCUGAAAAGACAGUUCUGAACCGGCCCAAGUCUCCUCCUCCUCCCUGAGCUUGGGUCACAUAUAAGGUGGCGACAUUCACCUCCUCCCGGAUGUCGCCACUUUA
rnacentral:sRNA from 1 species